rnacentral:lncRNA from 1 species
UAUCUCAAUUCUCAAGUGCUCUAAGUGAUGUGGUAUAUACAAAUAUAGAAAGUACAACCUUUUUUUUUUUUGACUUUUUUGAUUGUUACACAAAUAAAAUCUUGUGUAUGCCACCAAUUAUAUAAGCAGAUAUUAUUGAAUUUUUAAUUGUAAAAGUCUGUUAUAAUUUUAUGAAUGGUGUAGUGAAACAAUAGUGAUAGUUUUAUAAACAUUUUAAAAUUUUAUCUAUGUAAUGUGUAAUUUAUCAAUUGUACACCUAUGUAUUAAUUUUUAAAAAUAGUCUUUUACAAUACAUCUUUUUAAACACUCAAAAUGUCCUCCUCCUUGACCCUUUUUAUGUAUUUUUUUUUCAUUUAUUCUCGGCAUUCAUAAAAAUAAUCAUCACACCGAAAAUAGUUUUUAUUAUUGACACGAAUAAGAUGAGUUUAGUAAAAUAAAUGAACAUCCGAACCAUGCCAGUUUCGUCGUGGCAAAUGAGCAAUGGCCCAAAAACUAACAGCGUGAAGGGCACGCUUCUUGCCUUGAAUCAAUAAUCUCUCUUCUGGUAUCACAUUGACAUUUGUUUCUGUGCAACUUUGCACAUUCAGCAACAAUAGAUGCGGUCAGUUGUUCGAACCUCCGCAAUGUAUUGUAGGAGUAUUUCUUUUCUUAAUUAAAUUUGAGUGAAGAUAGUCUGCUCUCUUACUCAAGAGUGGGGAGCAGAUGUUCCUCGAAUAUUUAAGAGAGUUAAAAUUUGGAUAGCGCUCCAUUAACAUUGAUGUAAGUUGGUCCCAAUCAUAGUCUGAUUUGUAAAUAUCAGUUAUAUUCUCAUGUAAUAUGAGUUGUAGUCUGAGCAAUAGUCUCAUGUAAUAAAAAAAAAAGCAACAAUAGAUGCACUGAUGGAUUAUGACGCGGAUUAUUCGCUCA